UACGAAGGGGGCUAGCGUUACUCGGAAUUACUAGGCGUAAAGGGCGCGUAGGCGGCGUUCCAAGUUAGGCGUGAAAGUCCUGGGCUCAACCUGGGAACUGCGCUUAAGACUGGAAUGCUAGAGGAUGGAAGAGGGUUGUGGAAUUCCCAGUGUAGAGGUGAAAUUCGUAGAUAUUGGGAAGAACACCGGUGGCGAAGGCGGCAACCUGGUCCAUUUCUGACGCUGAGGCGCGAUAGCGUGGGGAGCAAACAGG
rnacentral:rRNA from 1 species